GGGCGCAUUAAAUUCCGUGGUUAUGCGUUCGUCACCGGCCCAGUUUCGGUUGGAUUGUACGCAUAGCUUCCGGAUAUCACCAAACCCCGGCACGAAAAGUGUCAAGGAACAUUCAACUAAACAGCCUGCUUUCGCCAACCCGGAGACGGUGUUUGUUCGGAAGCAGUGCUGCAAUGUAAAGUCUAAAACGACUCUCGGCAACGGAUAUCUCGGCUCUCGCAUCGAUGAAGAACGUAGCGAAAUGCGAUACUUGGUGUGAAUUGCAGAAUCCCGUGAACCAUCGAGUCUUUGAACGCAAGUUGCGCCCCAAGCCUUCUGGCCGAGGGCACGUCUGCCUGGGUGUCACAAAUCGUCGUCCCCCAAUCCUCUCGAGGAUAUCGGACGGAAGCUGGUCUCCCGUGUGUUACCGCACGCGGUUGGCCAAAAUCCGAGCUAAGGAUGCCAGGAGCGUCUUGACAUGCGGUGGUGAAUUCAAUUCUCGUCAAAUCGUCAGUCGUUUCGGUCCGAAAGCUCUUGAUGACCCAAAGUCCUCAACGCGACCCCAGGUCAGGCGGGAUCACCCGCUGAG
rnacentral:rRNA from 1 species